rnacentral:rRNA from 1 species
AGUGAACGCUGGCGGCAGGCCUAACACAUGCAAGUCGAACGGCAGCACGGCAGUAGCAAUACUGUGGGUGGCGAGUGGCGGACGGGUGAGGAAUACAUCGGGAUCUACCCUGUUGUGGGGGAUAACGUAGGGAAACUUACGCUAAUACCGCAUAAGAACUGAGGUUGAAAGCGGCGGACCGCAAGGCGUCGCGCGAUUGGAUGAACCGAUGUCCGAUUAGCUAGUUGGCGGGGUAAAGGCCCACCAAGGCGACGAUCGGUAGCUGGUCUGAGAGGACGACCAGCCACACUGGAACUGAGACACGGUCCAGACUCCUACGGGAGGCAGCAGUGGGGAAUAUUGCGCAAUGGGGGGAAACCCUGACGCAGCCACGCCGCGUGAGUGAUGAAGGCCUUCGGGUUGUAAAGCUCUGUCGGGAGGGACGAAGGGGAAACCCUGACGGUACCUCGCAAGAAAGCACCGGCUAACUCUGUGCCAGCAGCCGCGGU